UUUGGGAUAGCUUAGUCAGUAGAGCAUGAGACUCUUAAUCUCAGAGUUGUGGGUUCAAGCCCCACGCUGGGAAAAA